rnacentral:rRNA from 1 species
GACGAACCGUGCGAACGUUGUUCGGAAUCACUGGGCUUAAAGGGCGCGUAGGCGGACCGGAUAGUCUGUGGUGAAAGCCUCCAGCUUAACUGGAGAAGUGCCAUGGAUACUGCCGGUCUGGAGAGGGUGAGGGCGGUCUGGAACGCUGGGGUGGAGCGGUGAAAUGCGUUGAUAUCCAGCGGAACUCCGGUGGCGAAGGCGAGGUGCUGGACCCUUCUGACGCUGAUGCGCGAAAGCCAGGGGAGCAAACGGG